UACGUAGGGUGCGAGCGUUGUCCGGAAUUAUUGGGCGUAAAGAGCUCGUAGGCGGUGUGUCACGUCGUUCGUGAAAACCUGCAGCUUGACUGUGGGCGUGCGGUCGAUACGGGCAUCACUGGAGUUCGGCAGGGGAGACUGGAAUUCCUGGUGUAGCGGUGAAAUGCGCAGAUAUCAGGAGGAACACCGAUGGCGAAGGCAGCUCGCUGGGACGGUACUGACGCUGAGGCGCGAAAGCGUGGGGAGCGAACAGG
rnacentral:rRNA from 1 species